ensembl:lncRNA
CUGGAAAAUCCCAUGGACAGAGGAGCCAGCGGGUUACAGUCUCUGGGGUCACAAAGAGUUGGACCUAGCAACUCCAUAACAUAAGAGCCCCUAUUGUCUGAACUAGGGCCAUAAAAACCAAGGAUUACCACCUCCCACUGAUGAGGUGCCCACAGGCCACCCCUCACCCAUGGCAGAGAGCAGAUGAAGAGGAACAGCCAUCUUGGUCAUGAGAUGAAAGCUCUAUCCUGAGAUUGGCAGAACAUGAGAGAGGGAACUUGGAUGAUCAGCAGGCAUCUCCACACCUCUCCUCUGCACACAGCCCUUCUUUCAAGCUCCAGGAGAGUCUGUGACAAGGAGUGGGCUCCCUCUGCAAGACAUCCUGAUUCCUUUGAAGAAAGGCAGCCAGGAAAUGUGAAGCAUGGUAAUGGUGGCCUUUUCAGGAGUGGGUGGGCUGUUUUAUUACUAAGAGUUGAGUGACAGGCUUCCCAGCAGACUCGAAAGACAGAGCAAGAAGAGCUUGCUUCUUCACAGCACUGAGUGAUGCUCGCUGAGGGGUUAUGGUUCUGAUAGCUGAACAGCCAAACAGCUUUCCUCCUCCAGUGUUUGAAGGUCUGGUCUACACCCUCCCAGGAAUGCAGCCAUAGAAUUAGGAGUCCAAACUUCAGGAAGGUAGGCACUGGGAAGAAGAUUUGGACCCAUUUGAAGAAAGAACAUCAGAGCAGGCAGGACUGGUUUCUGAGUCCCUGCUAUGAACAGGUUUUUUGGACGGGUGACCCGCAAACACCCUUCCCAGGCCCAUGAUUUUGAGAUGCCAUGAGUCAGGGGUGCAGGCCUUGUUCUGACACUGCCCCUCACACACCAGCCUCAUUCAAAGCCUCAGUCAACAUUUGCUGCUGGCCUGCUGGGCACAGUAAGAUCUGAGAGGCACUUAGAUGAAAUGACACCUGAAUCACUUCAGCUUUAACGCCCAGUCAAUCUCUUUCUAGGAGCUGAGACGGUAGCACCGAUAUCCUUAAAAUGACAUCACAACAAAAAGAGAGUUAACACCAUGUAUGCCAAUUGUGUGUGUGUGAGGGGGGAAGGGGUUGGUCACCCAAUUUGUGGAUCAUGUGGCCUCAAGCAAGAGCUUCGACCUCACCACUCAGCAAACACAGGUAGCUUCACUGUACUUGUUGGUUCCAUGGUGAAUCAAGACCUUGGAAUUCUUCACGAGGAUAUCAAAUCUCUUCAAAUUCCAAGAACAGUUAGGAAGCCUUUCACCCCUCGAAAUCUUUGUACCUGCUAUUGCGUCCUCUUCCUACAACCCUUACAGCCUGUUUCAGGUGUCUAAUGCUGUGUUAACAAAGCACCCCAAACAUAAUGCUUUAUAAUAAAACCACAAAAAUCUCUAUCUUGCCCCCAAAUCUGCAAUUUAGGCAGACUGAGAGGGAACGGCUCGACUCUGCUUCAUUCAGUGUCAGCUGGGUGUCUCUAAGGCCGGGGGCUGAAAUUAACCAAAGGAGGGGUCCCUGGGCAUCUCCCUCCACUGCGCAUGGCUUUUCCACGUGGUGUCUACCGCGUGUCAGUUUCAGGGUAGCCAGACGUCUUACCAGACAUCUCAGGCCUCCCGAGGCAUAUAUCCCGAGACAGGGAGACAGAAAACCAAGCAAAAUCCAGGUUGCCUUUCAGUGACCUAACCUCAGAAGUCACAUGCAUCGCUUCUCCGCCCUCUCUGGGAGGAAGCAGUCAAAAGCCGCCACCCAGAUUCCUGAGCAGGGAACGCAGAGCCCCCUGCUUCUCCAUAUGAGGCAGGCCAGUCUCACUGUGAGAGGAGCAUAUGGGACGGGAGAUACAGCUUGCUGCGUCCAUUUCCAAAAGGUAUAAUCUGAAUCCACUCUUUUCUGUCUGAAAAACCCUUCUUAUGCUUCAAGACCCGGCUCAAACAUCACCGCCUUUAUAGAGCCCCCAAGUUCCUAAGAGCAGGUUACCUCCUUGAUGAGGCCUAACUGCACUUUGUACCUCUGCUUUCAGAGCACGUAGCACCCUGAAAUGACAUCUGUCUCUUUCUGGAGUCUGUGAAUGGCG